rnacentral:rRNA from 1 species
GACGAACGCUGGCGGCGUGCCUAAUACAUGCAAGUCGAACGCAGUGGGGACGGGUGAGUAACACGUGGGUAACCUCCCAUCAGAGGGGAUAACCCUUGGAAACAGGUGCUAAACCGAUACUGAUGGAUGGUCCCGCGGUGCAUUAGCUAGUUGGUGAGGUAACGGCUCACCAAGGCCAAGAUGCAUAGCCGACCGUAGAGGGGGAUCGGCGACACUGGGACUGAGGCACGGCCCGGACUCCUACGGGAGGCAGGGGUAGGGAAUCUUCGGCAAUGGACAAAAGUCUGACCAAGCAACGCCGCGUGAGGGAAGAAGGUUUUCGGAUCGUAAAACUCUGUUGUUAGAGAAGCGGUAUCUAACCAGAAAGCCACGGCUAACUACGUGCCAGCGGCCGCGGUAAUAC